AGUCCUUCCUUGCGCGGAGCCCCAGACCUACACUUGCCACGCCGUUGGUUUCCAGUUACCACAGCCUGGUGGUCAGGCUAUGAUUAGCUGGGCAGUGGGAAGGUCUCCUUUCCCUACUGGUUUUCAUUGAUGUGGGUUGUUCUUCAGUCACAGUUAGUUUCUUUUUAUUUUCAUUAUUUUUUUCUUUUUUGAGACGGAAUCUUGCUCUUGUCCAGGCUGGAGUGCAGUGGCGCGAUCUUGGCUCAUUGCAACCUCUGCCUCCAGGGUUCAAGCGAUUCUCCUGCCUCAGCCUCUCGAGUAGCUGGGAUUACAGGCAUGCGCCACCACGCCGGCUGAUUUUUCUAUUUUUAGUAGAAACGGGGUUUCACAUGUUGGCCAGGCCGGUUUCGAACUCCUGACCUCAAGUGAUCCGCCCGCCUCGGCCUCCCAAAGUGCUGGGAUUACAGGUGUGAGCCCCCGCGCCUGGCCUACUUUCAUUUAAUUUUUUUUAAAUUGUGGCAAAAUACACAUAAAAUUUAAUAUCUCAGCCAUUUAUAAGUGUACAGUUCAGUUGUACAUUCAUAUUGUUAUACAGCCACCAUCAGCAUCCAUCUCUAGAACUCUUUCAUCUUGCAGUACUGAAGUUCUGUACUCAUUAAACAAUAAUUCCUCAUUCUUCCUUAUCCCCAGCUCCUGGCAGCCACCAUUCUACUUUGUGUCUCUACAAAUCUGACUAUUCUGGGUACCUGACAUGAGUGAAAUCAUACAGCAUUUGUAUUUAUAUAACUGCCUUAUUUCACUUAGUGUAAUGUCCACGAGUUUCAUCCAUAUAGUAGCAUAUGUUAGAAUUUCCUUCCUUUUUAAGGCUGAAUAAUAUAUAUAUACCACGUUUUGUUUAUCCAUUCAUCCGUGGAUGGACAGUUGGGUUGCUUCCACCUUUUGCUAUUGUCAAUAAUGCUGCUAUUGCAACUGGCUCACGUCUGGCUGCUUGCUGCCUAGAGGCCAAAAACAUGAGAAGUGACCUGUGGUGAAAGCUUUACUAAUCAAAUGCUCGCAGAUGGGGAAUGGCUAGGCUCAUGCCUUCAAAACAGCAUUCCACUUUUUUUUUUUUUUUGGUCAAGGUAUCCCAGAGACAGUAUCAGUGUCCAAACUUUAAUUUUGUCCCAUAUCAAUGCCAGGGUGGUGUGCUACCUGCCCUGAGUCCAUCAUGUCCCUCCUGCGGCCAACUGACUUAGAGUCAAAAGAGUUACAGCCAAUU
rnacentral:lncRNA from 10 species